AUGCCGCGCUCCUUCCUUGUGGAUUCGCUGGUGCUGCGCGAGGCCGGCGAGAAGAAGGCGCCGGAGGGCAGCCCGCCGCCGCUCUUCCCCUACGCCGUGCCGCCGCCGCACGCCCUGCACGGGCUCUCCCCGGGCGCCUGCCACGCGCGCAAGGCCGGGCUGCUGUGCGUUUGCCCGCUCUGCGUCACCGCCUCCCAGCUGCACGGGCCCCCCGGGCCGCCCGCGCUGCCCCUGCUCAAGGCGUCCUUCCCGCCCUUCGGCUCGCAGUACUGCCACGCGCCCCUGGGCCGCCAGCACUCGGCCGUGUCGCCCGGGGUCGCUCACGGCCCCGCCGCCGCCGCCGCCGCCGCCGCGCUCUACCAGACCUCGUACUCGCUCCCCGACCCCAGGCAGUUCCACUGCAUCUCCGUGGACAGCAGCUCGAACCCGCUGCCCAGCAGCAAGAGGAUGCGUACGGCGUUCACCAGCACGCAGCUGCUAGAGCUGGAGCGCGAGUUCGCCGCCAACAUGUACCUGUCCCGCCUGCGCCGCAUCGAGAUCGCGACCUACCUGAACCUGUCGGAGAAGCAGGUGAAGAUCUGGUUCCAGAACCGCCGGGUGAAGCACAAGAAAGAGGGCAAGGGCAGCAACCACCGCGGCGGCAGCGGCGGCGGCGGGGGCGCGGGGGCGGGCGAGGGCGCACCGCAGGGCUGCAAGUGCGCGUCGCUCUCCUCCGCUAAGUGCUCCGAGGACGACGAUGAAGUGCCCAUGUCUCCGUCCUCUUCGGGGAAGGAUGACCGCGAUCUGACGGUCACUCCCUAGGCGCACUCCUCCUCAGGGAGCCCACCCCAGACACUCCCCGCGCGUGGCUCCAAGACCGGUCCUCGGACACGGCUCUGUUUCCCAGGCACCCACUGCGUAAGGCGGUCGCGCACGGACGUAGCGCGACUUUGCAGGGGUCUUCCGUCCUGGGAAGCGUCAAGAGCUUGGCUGACCUGACCUUGGUGUCUCCACCCCAGGGCCCGCGGCUAUCCAAAGCGGACUCCCAGCUAUGAACACACCGCAAGCGCGCGAAUCUUUCUCGGCCAGGCGACACAGGGGCCCGGCCCAGCCCAGCGCCUUGCUGGCGGCCGGCGCCUCCUCGCCCGCCAGCUCCGGACUGGCUCAGGCUUCCUCGCUUCCUAGGCUCUUCUCCACCCUUGGCCAAGCUCGGCCUUUCACCUCUAGGGUGCCCAUUCGCUCCUCCCUUUUUUUUUUUUUUUUUUGUCUUUCCCUCCCCACCUCUUUGCUACGGUGAUUAAUCCACUUCCCCAACCGCCACACAACUUAGGAACUCCUGGGUUUUGGUGUUUUUCUUUUCCUUUCUCCUCCCCUCUCCACAGAGCCCCCUUGAAGUUCAUCGUUCGUUUGUCGCCCCCCAUCCGACCUGCUGUGACCAUGGCUCUUCUCCCACGAGCGAAACUGCCUGUCGGGAAACCGGUUCACUUUGUCUUGGAGCCGCUCUGCGUUCCCCCCAGAGUCCCACUGUCUGCCUCUGAGGACACUCAUCUCCCAGACCCCAGCCCUGCCCCGGCCUAGCUUGUCAUUAAAUCCACAUAGCUCUGGAUCCCAAGCCAGGUUGGGGCUUCCUGCGGGCGCCGGUCGGGGCUGGGUGGUGGAGUCCGGCUCCAUCCCUCACCUUGCUGCUCACCAGCCCCUCCCUACACCCUCA